GGCCGGUGAUGUGGAUCUAAAUAUUUGCUACUCUUGAUUGGGUUUAUAUAAGAGCCCAUCUGAUGAUUCUUAUCCACCAAGAUCUCUGAGGCU